rnacentral:rRNA from 1 species
AUGUCACAACUUUAUUUGUUUGAUUCAUUUAGCUGUAUUGUUGUUUGGUUCAAGGAAACCACCAUUUUCUCCAUCGGCAGACUUCUUACUUGGACGUUAGUUAAAAUAUGGUGUAAGGGCAAGUUGUGGAGAUAUAGAUUGACCGCAAUAUUCGCAAGCAGGAAAUCAAAGUACAAAAACUGCCUCGUUCACCUACGCUUGAAACUGGAAUUGCUAAUUAGAAAAUUUGCAUUUCAUUUGGCAUUUUGCCAUUGUGCUAAAUUAUGUUCCUUGGCCAUUGAGUUGGAUAAUUAUCAUAGUUUCUAUUUUGGACUCACAACAUGUAAGGAGUUCCAUAAUGUUUUUUCUUGUCCAUACAUUGAAUGGCCAGUAAUUAUUUGUUGCAAGCAUUAG